rnacentral:rRNA from 1 species
GACGAACGCUGGCGGCGUGCCUAACACAUGCAAGUCGAACGGAAAAGCCUUGUACUUGUGGGAUGUUCAAGAGGAGAAAGGGGGAGAAUAACGUGAGUAACCUGCCCUUGUCUUUGGGAGAACACAAGGAAAAAGGGGUUCAUAUAGGAUAGGAGCACCUGCUGCAUGGUGGGGGAGGGUAAGAUUUGGAGGUUGGGGACGUACGCGCGGCUUAUCAGCUUGUUGGUGGGGUAGUGGAUUACAAAGGCUAUGACGGGUAGCCGGACUGAGAGGGUGACAGGCCACAAUGGGACUGAGAUACGGCCCAUACGCCAACGGGAGGCAGCAGUGGGGAAUAUUGCACGAUGGGCGGAAGCCGUGUGCAACAACGUCGCGUGCGAGAUGACGGCCUGCGGGUUGUAAACCGCGUUCGCCUGUGACGAAGCGUGAGUGACGGUAAUGGGUAAAAAAGCACCGGCUAACUACGUG